GAUGAACGCUGGCGGCGUGCCCAAUACAUGCAAGUCGAGCGAAUGGAUUAAGAGCUUGCUCUUAUGAAGUUAGCGGCGGACGGGUGAGUAACACGUGGGUAACCUGCCCAUAAGACUGGGAUAACUCCGCGAAACCGGGGCUAAUACCGGAUAAUAUUUUGAACUGCAUGGUUCAAAAUUGAAAUGCGGCUUCGGCUGUCACUUAUGGAGGGACCCGCGUCGCAUUAGCUAGUUGGUGAGGUAACGGCUCACCAAGGCAACGAUGCGUAGCCGACCUGAGAGGGUGAUCGGCCACACUGGGACUGAGACACGGCCCAGACUCCUACGGGAGGCAGCAGUAGGGAAUCUUCCGCAAUGGACGAAAGUCUGACGGAGCAACGCCGCGUGAGUGAUGAAGGCUUUCGGGUCGUAAAACUCUGUUGUUAGGGAAGAACAAGUGCUAGUUGAAUAAGCUGGCACCUUGACGGUACCUAACCAGAAAGCCACGGCUAACUACGUGCCAGCCGCCGCGGUAA
rnacentral:rRNA from 1 species